CUCGCAUCCUUCGACGCGCACGCGCCUCCGAGCGGCUCUCUGAGCGGAGAAAACUCAAGUUCAAGUGCGGACGUGACGUUCAGUGCGCGGAUCUUUUUCCCCCCACUUUUCCACCAUUGCGCAUCUGACCCGUGACUCUAGUUUCCUGUCUUCCACUGCCCUCUCCUGGUCACUGUCCUCAGUAAAACUCUCAGAAGAUAACCACUGGGUGAGUCGACUCAGUUCAAGAUGGCCGCCACAGCUAACUCAGCUUAGCCAAAGCAGGAUAUUUGGUCUGACAGUCGGGCCACCGGGCUCAGGAGCCCACGGUGCCAAAGCCAUCAUGUCACACAGCGUGUGUCCACCUGAGCGACCGGGGCCGCAGUAAUCACUGAUGUGGUCCGAGGAAGUGCUGGGUGGCAGGUCUGGGGGAUUCUGGGUCAGGCCUGGGAGGUCUGAUGAAGAUAAGAAUAGAGAGUGAUGUUCCUGCUCCCCGCGAGGAGAAGGAAAGCAAGCAAGCAAGAAAGAAAAGGAUGGUCAGUCUCGGACCAUUUUUCUGUUUCUGGGUCACGUCAGAGCAGGACAGGAAAAGGAAAUGAGACAAGAAAAGAAUGACAAUCGCAGCUCAGAGUGUAGAUACUUCAGCUAUAACACUUGAAACAAUGUCCYAUAUUCAACCUGCAUCUCAGACACCUGACCUGCUCCAGCUGCCAUCAUCCAUUAAACAUGCAGGGAGGAGSUCCAGACUGAAGCUGGACUCCAGGAUUCCAGAUGCAUCUCUGCACUUCACAAGAUUUCUCUUUGUGUCUCAAUUAUUACUGAACGUCUUGUUAAAGCAGUUGCUCUGUUGGUGCGAAUCCUUUCAAACAGUGAUAGAACACUUUCAGAUUCCACACAAAUCUUAGCUUCAUUUGAUUCAAAUAUGCACACUUCUUUGCUCUUUCUAAGAAAAGACAGGGAGUUUUCCCCCCAUCAAGUGUUUUGAUUCCUUCAGAUGUUAGUUGCUCUGGUGAACUUGAUGUUUUUUUUCUGGCAGACUGUUUUCUGCUCUGCCAGAAUUGACCAGCAUUGAGCAUUUUUUUUCUAAAACAUAAAAACACUCCAUCCAACCUGAGGAAGAGUAAAUACACUAAAACACAUGAAAGCAGUUUUCACAAAAGCUUUUUCUCAUCUUUYAUGAUUUGAUGAUGACAGGACAUAGCCAGGCUCUGAUCCUGUACUACUUGUUUCAGCUUUCAACCCUAUUGUCCUGAGCCAUUGGUUUGUUCUAUGUUGGUCUACAUUGACCUCUGUAGUUCUUUUUGGGUACUUUCUAUUAUUAUUAUUAUUAUUAGAAUUAUUAUCAUUAUGCUUCUGUUUUUAUUAUAUUUAUUCUUCUGUCUUCAUGUGCAUAUUUUGAGAUUUUUUAACUUCAUUUUGUCUUUAUGUCUGGCUUGAAAACUCAGCAUAUGGAUUUCGUUCUCGGUGUGUGAAAAUACAAAUGGCAAACAGACACUUGAACUCAUAAUACUGUUAAAUAUAAAGAUCUAAAAAGACCAAGCAGGGGUCAGAUUUGAGGAUCAAUCUGACCAAAGGUCAAUCAGAAUCAUGAAAAGCUAGAUUCCAAACCAGAGGUUAAGUACAGUUCUUCAGCAGAGCCUUUAGACCAGGUCACCAGAAACACUUUUGGACAUCUGAGUUUCAAUCUGCAAACAAACAGUUUCUAUUUGUGUCCAGUUGAGCCUGUUAAACAGACUCACUUUUCAUUAAAGCUGCCUUUUGUUGAGAUGAAUGACUGAACAGUGUCAUUUACUGGGAUUCUGUUUGGGCUUUUAUGCUGCAGGACUUUUCUCCUUUGGUCCAAGAUGAUGGAAUCAGUUUCUAAAGGUUUCAGAACAACUGCAUCAUUACGCUUUUAUUUUAUGUUUAAAAAAAUUACCUCAAGGCUAAACACGUGAAAUAAAGAUUCAAAAUGGUUGUCACAACUAAAACAUGGUGCUGUAUGAGAGAAGAGAAAGUUCUUUGUCCAACCUUUUCCUGAGCCGUCAGUGUGAAACCUUGUAAACAUUUUGCUGCUGUGGCCUCUGACCGAGGCUGCUGACGCUCUGGAUCAGUCUGAACGGCGGUUUGGAAUUCAUCGGGCUGGAUUUGUUGGGAGUGCUGGUCCCAGGUCUGCUCCCAGCACUGACACAGCGAGGACUAACAAUAGUGGACAUGCCCGGCUCUCUGCUGCCCAUCACAGUGCCCAUUAGAAUUAAUAUAUUCAAGGAUUAAAGGGCUUUUAUCUUGGGCAGCCAUGAAUUAUAAAUACUGCACUUCAAAUUUUAAUUGCUCUGAAUUAAAUGAUUUAAGAUGGGUUUUUUAAAAUAAAUUCCUAAUAGGACCAGAGGGCAAAAGAAAAGGAAAAUACACCCAAUAAAAGGCUUUUCUUCUCUAACCACAGAUGAAGGAAGAGGAACAAUAGAUGGAUGAAGACCUGGAGGGUUAAGAACAACACCGCACACAGGAAGUCAGAAAUGGAUGAUGUUUAAUCUCUGGUUCUUGGGUGAUGACAACAUCAGGACAUUAGAUUCUGUUCAGCUGGAGUACAGUGUACCCUUCAGGAUUUGUUGUGUCUAAGAUUAAAGCCAUCCAGGAAAUGUGAAAUGAAUUGUCUUAAGUUCGUUAGAAAGCGGCAAACUGAACAAUAAACGUAUAUAAAUCCUUAAAAACACAGAUUAGUGUCAGAAUGUAGAUCAACAAGUCAGGSUGGUGUGAAGUCCCUGGUGGACUAACAUGAGGAUUAAAUGUUUUGCUCCUUCACACCAUCACCACUCUGUAGCAAAGAAAAAAAAACAAUAAAAA